GAUAACGGCGUCGAGCGGCGGACGGGUGAGUAAUGCCUAGGAAAUUGCCCUGAUGUGGGGGAUAACCAUUGGAAACGAUGGCUAAUACCGCAUAAUACCUUCGGGUCAAAGAGGGGGACCUUCGGGCCUCUCGCGUCAGGAUAUGCCUAGGUGGGAUUAGCUAGUUGGUGAGGUAAUGGCUCACCAAGGCGACGAUCCCUAGCUGGUCUGAGAGGAUGAUCAGCCACACUGGAACUGAGACACGGUCCAGACUCCUACGGGAGGCAGCAGUGGGGAAUAUUGCACAAUGGGCGCAAGCCUGAUGCAGCCAUGCCGCGUGGUGUGAAGAAGGCCUUCGGGUUGUAAAGCACUUUCAGUUCGUAACAGAGGUUAAGCCGUAAAUAAUAGCUGCAUUAUUUGACGUUAGCGACAGAAGAAGCACCGGCUAACUCCGUGCCAGCAGCCGCGGUAAUACGGAGGGUGCGAGCGUUAAUCGGAAUUACUGGGCGUAAAGCGCAUGCAGGUGGUUUGUUAAGUCAGAUGUGAAAGCCCGGGGCUCAACCUCGGAAUAGCAUUUGAAACUGGCAGACUAGAGUACUGUAGAGGGGGGUAGAAUUUCAGGUGUAGCGGUGAAAUGCGUAGAGAUCUGAAGGAAUACCGGUGGCGAAAGCGGCCCCCCUGGACAGAUACUGACACUCAGAUGCGAAAGCGUGGGGAGCAAACAGGAUUAGAUACCCUGGUAGUCCACGCCGUAAACGAUGUCUACUUGGAGGUUGUGGCCUUGAGCCGUGGCUUUCGGAGCUAACGCGUUAAGUAGACCGCCUGGGGAGUACGGUCGCAAGAUUAAAACUCAAAUGAAUUGACGGGGGCCCGCACAAGCGGUGGAGCAUGUGGUUUAAUUCGAUGCAACGCGAAGAACCUUACCUACUCUUGACAUCCAGAGAACUUUCCAGAGAUGGAUUGGUGCCUUCGGGAACUCUGAGACAGGUCAAGCUGCAUGGCUGUCGUUCAGCUCGUGAUUGUGAAAUGUUGGGUUAAGUCACCGCAAGUCGAGCG
rnacentral:rRNA from 1 species